rnacentral:rRNA from 1 species
ACGGAGGGUGCAAGCGUUAAUCGGAAUUACUGGGCGUAAAGCGCACGCAGGUGGUCUGUUAAGCUAGAAGUGAAAGCCCCGCGCUCAACGUGGGAAGGCCUUUUAGAACUGGCAGACUAGAGUCUUGGAGAGGGGAGUGGAAUUUCUAGUGUAGCGGUGAAAUGCGUAGAUAUUAGAAGGAACAUCAGUGGCGAAGGCGACUCUCUGGCCAAAGACUGACACUCAUGUGCGAAAGUGUGGGUAGCGAACAGG